rnacentral:rRNA from 1 species
GACGAACGCUGGCGGCGUGCCUAAUACAUGCCAGUUGAGCGAUGAAGAUUGGUGCUUGCCCCAAUUUGAAGAGCAGCGAACGGGUGAGUAACGCGUGGGGAAUCUGCCUUUGAGCGGGGGACAACAUUUGGAAACGAAUGCUAAUACCGCAUAACAACUUUAAACAUAAGUUUUAAGUUUGAAAGAUGCAAUUGCAUCACUCAAAGAUGAUCCCGCGUUGUAUUAGCUAGUUGGUGAGGUAAAGGCUCACCAAGGCGAUGAUACAUAGCCGACCUGAGAGGGUGAUCGGCCACAUUGGGACUGAGACACGGCCCAAACUCCUACGGGAGGCAGCAGUAGGGAAUCUUCGGCAAUGGACGAAAGUCUGACCGAGCAACGCCGCGUGAGUGAGGAAGGUUUUCGGAUCGUAAAACUCUGUUGGUAGAGAAGAACGUUGGUGAGAGUGGAAAGCUCAUCAAGUGACGGUAACUACCCAGAAAGGGACGGCUAACUACGUG